rnacentral:rRNA from 1 species
UACGUAGGGUGCGAGCGUUGUCCGGAAUUAUUGGGCGUAAAGAGCUCGUAGGCGGUCCGUCACGUCGGAUGUGAAAUUCCAGGGCUCAACCCUGGGCCUGCAUUCGAUACGGGCAGACUAGAGUUCGGUAGGGGAGACUGGAAUUCCUGGUGUAGCGGUGAAAUGCGCAGAUAUCAGGAGGAACACCGGUGGCGAAGGCGGGUCUCUGGGCCGAAACUGACGCUGAGGAGCGAAAGCGUGGGGAGCAAACAGG